CCUACGGGAGGCAGCAGUAGGGAAUAUUGCUCAAUGGGGGAAACCCUGAAGCAGCAACGCCGCGUGGAGGAUGAAGGUUUUCGGAUUGUAAACUCCUUUUUUUAGAGAAGUUAAUGACGGUAUCUAACGAAUAAGCACUGGCUAACUCCGUGCCAGCAGCCGCGGUAAUACGGCGGGUGCAAGCGUUACUCGGAAUCACUGGGCGUAAAGAGCGCGUAGGCGGGAUAGCAAGUCAGAGGUGAAAUCCUUUGGCUUAACCAUAGAACUGCAUUUGAAACUGUUAUUCUAGAGUUUGUGAGAGGUAGGUGGAAUUCUUGGUGUAGGGGUAAAAUCCGUAGAGAUCAAGAGGAAUACUCAUUGCGAAGGCGGCCUGCUAGAACAUAACUGACGCUGAUGCGCGAAAGCGUGGGGAGCAAACAGGAUUAGAUACCCGUGUAGUC
rnacentral:rRNA from 1 species